rnacentral:rRNA from 1 species
AGGACGAACGCUGGCGGCGUGCUUAACACAUGCAAGUCACGGGGGUCCCGCAAGGGAUAACCGGCGAACGGGUGCGUAACACGUGAGCAACCUGCCUUUGUGUGGGGGAUAGCCGGGCUAACGCCCGGGUAAUACCGCAUACGGUCACCGAGAGGAGUCUCUUGGUGAAGAAACCCUUUGGGGGCACAGAGAGGGGCUCGCGGCCUAUCAGCUAGUUGGGGGGGUAAUGGCCCACCAAGGCGACGACGGGUAGCU